UACGGAGGAUGCAAGCGUUAUCCGGAAUGAUUGGGCGUAAAGCGUCCGCAGGUGGCUGUGUAAGUCUGCUGUUAAAGAGUGAGGCUCAACCUCAUAAAGGCAGUGGAAACUACAUGGCUAGAGUGCGUUCGGGGCAGGGGGAAUUCCUGGUGUAGCGGUGAAAUGCGUAGAGAUCAGGAAGAACACCGGUGGCGAAAGCGCUCUGCUAGGCCGCAACUGACACUGAGGGACGAAAGCUAGGGGAGCGAAUGGG
rnacentral:rRNA from 1 species